rnacentral:rRNA from 1 species
AUUGAACGCUGGCGGCAUGCCUUACACAUGCAAGUCGAACGGCAGCACGGGAGCAAUCCUGGUGGCGAGUGGCGAACGGGUGAGUAAUAUAUCGGAACGUGCCCAGUAAUGGGGGAUAGCCCGGCGAAAGCCGGAUUAAUACCGCAUACGACCUACGGGUGAAAGCGGGGGAUCGCAAGACCUCGCGUUAUUGGAGCGGCCGAUAUCAGAUUAGCUUGUUGGCGGGGUAAAAGCCCACCAAGGCGACGAUCUGUAGCUGGUCUGAGAGGACGACCAGCCACACUGGGACUGAGACACGGCCCAGACUCCUACGGGAGGCAGCAGUGGGGAAUUUUGGACAAUGGGCGCAAGCCUGAUCCAGCCAUGCCGCGUGUGGGAAGAAGGCCUGG